rnacentral:rRNA from 1 species
CCUACGGGAGGCAGCAGUGGGGAAUAUUGGACAAUGGGCGAAAGCCUGAUCCAGCAAUGCCGCGUGAGUGAUGAAGGCCUUCGGGUCGUAAAGCUCUUUUACCAGGGAUGAUAAUGACAGUACCUGGAGAAUAAGCUCCGGCUAACUCCGUGCCAGCAGCCGCGGUAAUACGGAGGGAGCUAGCGUUGUUCGGAAUUACUGGGCGUAAAGAGUACGUAGGCGGUUAUUCAAGUCAGAGGUGAAAGCCCGGGGCUCAACCCCGGAACUGCCUUUGAAACUAGAUAACUAGAGUCUUGGAGAGGUUAGUGGAAUUCCGAGUGUAGAGGUGAAAUUCGUAGAUAUUCGGAAGAACACCAGUGGCGAAGGCGACUAACUGGACAAGUACUGACGCUGAGGUACGAAAGCGUGGGGAGCAAACAGGAUUAGGUACCCUGGUAGUCCACGCCGUAAACGAUGAUAACUAGUUGUUCGGUCACUUGGUGACUGAGUGACGCAGCUAACGCAUUAAGUUAUCCGCCUGGGGAGUACGGUCGCAAGNUUAAAACUCAAAGAUAGUCGCGNGNGAGAGCGACGACGACGACGAGAGGAG